GACGAACGCUGGCGGCGUGCUUAACACAUGCAAGUCGAACGGAAAGGCCCUGCUUGCAGGGUACUCGAGUGGCGAACGGGUGAGUAACACGUGGGUGAUCUGCCCCGCACUUCGGGAUAAGCUUGGGAAACUGGGUCUAAUACCGGAUAGGAGCCAUCUUUAGUGUGGUGGUUGGAAAGUUUUUUCGGUGUAGGAUGAGCUCGCGGCCUAUCAGCUUGUUGGUGGGGUAAUGGCCUACCAAGGCGGCGACGGGUAGCCGGCCUGAGAGGGUGUACGGCCACAUUGGGACUGAGAUACGGCCCAGACUCCUACGGGAGGCAGCAGUGGGGAAUAUUGCACAAUGGGCGCAAGCCUGAUGCAGCGACGCCGCGUGGGGGAUGAAGGCCUUCGGGUUGUAAACUCCUUUCGCUAGGGACGAAGCUUUUUUGUGACGGUACCUAGAUAAGAAGCACCGGCUAACUACGUG
rnacentral:rRNA from 1 species